CUUCACUGAUUGGGGAAGCAGCCACAACUGGGUCCAGCCCCAUCAGGACUCAGCUGGCCCUGAUAAGAGGGCUGUGGGCAAGGAGAGUCUCACUCUAGCUCUGGAGGGGGAAGCGCUAGCUUCCUAAGAGGAAGUGCCUAGCAGCAGGUGAGACGUUAGCCUGGAGAGGGAGCUCCAUAUGCUGGAAAGCUAAUUCCCAGGAUGACCAGCAGGAGAUGCCACACCGGUACCUGAGGGAGCUGCAGGAGGAGGCCGAGAAGAGGAUACCCUGGUAUCACAGACUCUCAUGGACUGAUGUGGCUCAGUAUAAUUGCCAUCACUACUGAUACCCCCCCUAUGUAGAUCAGUGUUUCUGGUGCUGGGCCACAAGCACAGACUGGUGGAUCACAUUAUCAUGCAGCCCUGGGAUGACCAGUAGCAGGUCCAGAACUUUUGCAUGACGAAAUUUACAUUUCUGGAGCUCUGUGAGCAACGUACCUUCAGCAUUAAAGAGACACAUCUGAGUUCUCCUUUGCCAGUCCAGAAGGUGAUUGCUAUAACUGUCUAGAAGCAGGCUAUGGACUGCUACAGGUCUGUUGCCAACCAGUCUGGGGUUGGAAAGUUGACUGUGGGUACAGUGGUGGCAGAGGUUUCGAAGGCAAUCUAGUGUGUGGUUUACCCCAAGGUGGCGGGCAUGAAAGAUACUCUGGAGAUAAUUGCUGGCUUUGAGA